UUUAGUUCAUUUAUAUUCCCUCAAUAUUUAGUUUUUCUUUUAUUUUUAUAUUUCCUUUGAUGCUACUAUGAUUAUAUUAUGAGUUCAUUUUAUAAAUACUCUUUAUUUAUAUUUCUAUGUGACUGUUCUUUUCAUACAUUUAAAUUUAAAAAGGCACACGUGAUCCAAACGGUCUACGCUUCCGCUAAAGGCAGAGCCGCGGAUGUUGGUCUCUCCUCAUAACAGAAACAUCUCUCGCAGCGGAAUUCUUGUCAGACGCAAAUAUUUCAUAUGCUGCUUUGUAUUUCAAUUUAUCACGACAAUAUUUUAAUAUAAAAAUAAUAAAUAAAAAAAUGUGGGUGAUAUAAAAAAGUAACGUUUUAAAUCAUAAAGGAAGCACAUGUCGUAAACGGUGCUUUUAGCGGAAGUUGCAUACGUUCUGAUUUCCGACAGUGAGGAGCAGCGUGUGAGAGAGCAGAGUUCCCGCCGAAAGAUGAACAGAUGGUGAUGGAGCGUCUCUGCGAUCAGCAGCUGUAAUCAAUGCUCUUACUCUUCUACAGUGUUGGGAAUUUACACAAUAAAUGUAACUGUAAUCAGUCAAAUAAAGCUUCUGACAUGUUUCAAA